GAUAAUGGAGUUGACAAUGCUUGUGGUGUGCACUCUGCAGGGUGAAGAAUUGAAGAAGAUGAUUGAUGCAAUCACCUACAUACAGUGCAGUUCUAAAACACAGCAGAAUGUGAAGAUAGUUUUUGACUCUGCAAUAAAAGUUGCACUGAGACCACAAAAACCAAAGAAAAAACCACGCAAGAGAAGGACUUGUUUUUUCUUCUAAGUAGUAUUUCUUAUUCAGUUGUUCUUAUUGUAUUUCUAAAAUCAUUAAUAUAACAGAAUCGAAAACACUAAGCUUUAGUGUUUUUUAUUCAUUUA